rnacentral:rRNA from 1 species
UACGUAGGGUGCGAGCGUUAAUCGGAAUACUGGGCGUAAAGCGUGCGCAGGCGGUUUUGUAAGCCAGAUGUGAAAUCCCCGGGCUUAACCUGGGAAUGGCAUUUGGGACUGCAAGGCUUGAGUGCGGCAGAGGAGACUGGAAUUCCUGGUGUAGCAGUGAAAUGCGUAAGAUAUCAGGAGGACACCGAUGGCGAAAGGCAGGUCUCUGGGCUGACACUGACGCUCAUGCACGAAAGCGUGGGGAGCAAACAGG